UACGGAGGGUGCAAGCGUUGUCCGGAAUUAUUGGGCGUAAAGAGCUCGUAGGCGGUCUGUCGCGUCUGCUGUGAAAACUCAGGGCUUAACCCUGAGCUUGCAGUGGGUACGGGCAGACUAGAGUGCGGUAGGGGAGACUGGAAUUCCUGGUGUAGCGGUGAAAUGCGCAGAUAUCAGGAGGAACACCGGUGGCGAAGGCGGUUCUCUGGGCCUGUACUGACGCUGAGGAACGAAAGCGUGGGGAGCGAACAGG
rnacentral:rRNA from 1 species